UAGGGAAUCUUCCGCAAUGGACGAAAGUCUGACGGAGCAACGCCGCGUGAGUGAAGAAGGAUUUCGGUUCGUAAAACUCUGUUGUUAGGGAAGAAAAAAUGUAUAGUAACUAUAUACAAAAGAGACGGUACCUAACCAGAAAGCCACGGCUAACUACGUGCCAGCAGCCGCGGUAAUACGUAGGUGGCAAGCGUUGUCCGGAAUUAUUGGGCGUAAAGCGCGCGCAGGUGGUUUAGAAAGUCUGAUGUGAAAGCCCACGGCUCAACCGUGGAGGGUCAUUGGAAACUAAUAAACUUGAGUGCAGGGGAGAAAAGUGGAAUUCCUAGUGUAGCGGUGAAAUGCGUAGAGAUUAGGAGGAACACCGGUGGCGAAAGCGGCUUUUUGGCCUGCAACUGACACUGAGGCGCGAAAGCGUGGGGAGCAAACAGG
rnacentral:rRNA from 1 species